rnacentral:rRNA from 1 species
GACGAACGCUGGCGGCGUGCUUAACACAUGCAAGUCGAACGGAAAGGCCCCUUUGGGGGUACUCGAGUGGCGAACGGGUGAGUAACACGUGAGUAACCUGCCCUUGACUUCGGGAUAACUUCAGGAAACUGGGGCUAAUACCGGAUAGGAAUCCUUGCUGCAUGGUGGGGGUUGGAAAGCUUCGGCGGUUUUGGAUGGACUCGCGGCUUAUCAGCUUGUUGGUGGGGUAGUGGCUUACCAAGGCUUUGACGGGUAGCCGGCCUGAGAGGGCGACCGGCCACAUUGGGACUGAGAUACGGCCCAGACUCCUACGGGAGGCAGCAGUGGGGAAGAUUGCACAAUGGGCGGAAGCCUGAUGCAGCAGCGCCGCGUGCGGGAUGACGGCCUUCGGGUUGUAAACCGCUUUCAGCAGGGGCGAAGCUUGUGGUGACGGUACCUGCAGAAGAAGCACCGGCUAACUACGUG